rnacentral:rRNA from 1 species
AUUGAACGCUGGCGGCAUGCCUUACACAUGCAAGUCGAACGGCAGCACGGGAGCAAUCCUGGUGGCGAGUGGCGAACGGGUGAGUAAUAUAUCGGAACGUGCCCAGUCGUGGGGAUAACGUAGCGAAAGCUACGCUAAUACCGCAUACGAUCUAUGGAUGGAAAGCGGGGGGAUCGCAAGACCUCGCGCGAUUGGAGCGGCCGAUAUCAGAUUAGGUAGUUGUGAGGUAAAGGCUCACCAAGCCGACGAUCUGUAGCUGGUCUGAGAGGACGACCAGCCACACUGGGACUGAGACACGGCCCA